rnacentral:misc_RNA from 1 species
UGCUUCAGAAAUGGAAAACGGAGGGAGGGAGUGAGGGAGAGGUGGUUGUUUUGAAAUGCGAAAGCUCAUACGAAAUACAAAUCGUAACCAGAUAAGGGAAACAAUUGGGUUCACGUUGAAAGUGCAUAUACAGAAGGCGCACAAUAUGCAUAGUUUUCAAAGCAAGAAACAGUUAAGUGACAGGGAAGUGGAUGGUGAUGUGCGGAUGGGAGAAGUAGCGCAGGCGUCAGAUUACACAGGUGAUUGAGAGCCGGUUGGUUCACCGCAGGAUUGCGGAGGUGCCGACAACGAAUCACAUUGCUUCCUUUUCAAAUUGAUAGCUUCCAGUAUAAUCGCCAACCUACCAGGACCUUUUUGGGGGGUAUUGGCUGCCACUUGGAUCCGAUUCAUUGGUUUAUAAUGUUUACACUUGUCUACUUUCUUAGCCGCCCGUUGUGGACAUGUGGAACGCAUCUUAGCUCAAAGCCCACCCAAUCAGCCCUGUGAGUGGGUUGGGUCUGGUCGAGAAAGCAUGCCGAACCCAUAGUCUUGCCGAAAG